rnacentral:lncRNA from 1 species
GGCAGACGCCGGAACCACUGAGCUAAAUCCCCAGCCCGAGCUGUUUUCUUUUAAAGUGGGUUGUUUUUGUUUUGUUUUGGGGACCAGGGAUGGAACUUGGGACCUUGUGCUUGUGAGGCAGGUGGUGGAACCACUGAGCUAAAUCCCCGGGCCAGGAGUGGGUUGUUUUUUAUCUUCUUACUUUGUGUCUUAUAUUUUUUGACUGAAUGACAAGUGUUGGAUUUGGCCAGUAGCGUACAAGGGUGCUGUCUGUACUGGGACCCACAGGUACUCAGGUAGUGGGCAAGGAAACCGGUGGUCACAUGCUGGUGGCGUGGACUUGUGCUGAAAAGAAGGUAUACCCUGAUCUGUCUUCCUUCAGGAGGCCUGGACAUGAGGCCCUUCUCAGAGCUGGGAUUGCAGGUGUGUGCCACUAGAUUUUCUCUUCUGAGGUGCAAAGCAGUCCUUUGUUUACCAGCACGACAGUGCCACCUUUGGGCCAGCAGGGUGGACGUGUGCAGUCCUUUGAAAGCCUGCAGAUCAGGCUCCUGGCUUCCUCUCUUGCUGGGGGCGCUCUUCCCUCUCAGGGAGCUUCCUUCAGUCAGAGCAAGGUAACAACUGACACAAGCCUGUCUUGUGCGCCUUGCCUUCCUCUCAGUCUAUGAACAGAUGCCUCUCAGGCUGCUGGAUUCUGGGAACCCAGCAAUUUUAUGUAACUGUAUUGCUGACAAUUCUGUCUCCUUUUUUUUUUCGGUACCGGUGAUCGAACUCAGGACCUUGUGCUUUCGAGGAGGCAGCUGCAGCACCACUGAGCUACAUCCCCCAGCCCAUCUGUCCCCUUCUUUGAUACUGCCAUUGAUGAAUGAUUUUGCUGGAGGAGGAACACAGUGGUCGGAUCUAACUGAAAUACUGUGUGCAGUGUCUGUGCAUAUGUAUGGCCGGAAAUCCCCUCUGGUCCACUUUCCCAUAGUCGGAGACAGAUCUGCACAGCAGCGGCUGGGAGUUUUCAGCAAUGCAGGCCAGAAGUUUUUAGCAUCUCCCCCAACUAGGUUGGUCCGGUUGUCUCUUCAGGAUCAGCUGGACGCAUCAGCGACUUCACCGUUUCUUCGCACGUGAUACCACAGUAAAUCCAGCUCCAAAUGCAGGUAGACUUUUCCCUGGUUGUCAGGCAGUACUUGAACUCCUGCCACAACCAAGAUGACUGCCACGCGUUUCCACCCAAAACCACUAC